rnacentral:rRNA from 1 species
CAGGCUCGGCCUUACAACAACAAACAAAGUUUGACCUCAAAUCAGGUAGGACUACCCGCUGAACUUAAGCAUAUCAAUAAGCGGAGGAAAAGAAACCAACAGGGAUUGCCUUAGUAACGGCGAGUGAAGCGGCAAAAGCUCAAAUUUGAAAUCUAGCACUUUCAGUGUUCGAGUUGUAAUUUGAAGAAGGUAACUUUCGAGUUGGCUCUUGUCUAUGUUCCUUGGAACAGGACGUCACAGAGGGUGAGAAUCCCGUGCGAUGAGAUGCCCAAUUCUUAGUAAAGUGCUUUCGAAGAGUCGAGUUGUUUGGGAAUGCAGCUCUAAGUGGGUGGUAAAUUCCAUCUAAAGCUAAAUAUUGGCGAGAGACCGAUAGCGAACAAGUACAGUGAUGGAAAGAUGAAAAGAACUUUGAAAAGAGAGUGAAAAAGUACGUGAAAUUGUUGAAAGGGAAGGGCUUGAGAUCAGACUUGGUAUUUUGUGUGCCUUUCCUUUUUGGUUAGGUUUCUGCAGCUUACUGGGCCAGCAUCGGUUUGGGUGGUAGGAUAAUGACAUUGGAAUGUAGCUUCGCUUCGGUGAAGUGUUAUAGACUUUGUUGAUACUAUCUAUCUAGACCGAGGACUGCGUCUUUGACUAGGAUGCUGGCGUAAUGAU